rnacentral:lncRNA from 1 species
CGCGCUGAGUGGGUGUGCCCCCAAGGCCAGAGCAGACGACACUGCAAAUCGUUGUUCAGGGCGUUCAAAGGGAAGUUAAGAUACUUUAGAAUCCCGACGGGUCAUUUAUGACGGACGCCAACGGUUACAUCUACGAGGCAUCAGACGGCAAGCGCGUUACGCUGCGGUUCAUGGCAGAGAAUCGCGAAAAUG